GAUGAACGCUGGCGGCGUGCCUAAUACAUGCAAGUCGAGCGAACAGACGAGGAGCUUGCUCCUCUGACGUUAGCGGCGGACGGGUGAGUAACACGUGGAUAACCUACUUAUAAGACUGGGAUAACUUCGGGAAACCGGAGCUAAUACCGGAUAAUAUAUUGAACCGCAUGGUUCAAUAGUGAAAGACGGUUUUGCUGUCACUUAUAGAUGGAUCCGCGCCGCAUUAGCUAGUUGGUAAGGUAACGGCUUACCAAGGCAACGAUGCGUAGCCGGCCUGAGAGGGUGAUCGGCCACACUGGAACUGAGACACGGUCCAGACUCCUACGGGAGGCAGCAGUAGGGAAUCUUCCGCAAUGGGCGAAAGCCUGACGGAGCAACGCCGCGUGAGUGAUGAAGGUCUUCGGAUCGUAAAACUCUGUUAUUAGGGAAGAACAAAUGUGUAAGUAACUAUGCACGUCUUGACGGUACCUAAUCAGAAAGCCACGGCUAACUACGUG
rnacentral:rRNA from 1 species